GGAGAGAUCCAGGCGCUGUCACCAGGCAACCACUCCCUUUUCCAGGGAAGCUGACUACCCCAGGCUUUGAAGAAGCCGGAAUCUUCUCACCGCCCCUUGUCGCUCCCAUAGGGCACACCAGAGGACCAGCACGGUGUGGGAGAGCAUCUGGGAGGGGGUCAGGUUCCAGGGCGGAGGUAGAAGUGUGGGUGGGAGAGGUAUCCGCACAGAUGAGUCUGCCCUGAGCUUCCCUAGACGUGGCAGCCUGGAGCUCAAGAAGAGCGACAUGACUGCGACUCCCACACAGAGACAGAUCUGGGUAAGAAACCAGCUCGUGUGUGACAAACACACCAUCUCACAAUGACAGGGACUGUUGAAAACCCCUGGGAACCCUGGAACUGCUGACCCAGCUUCUGCUUGGAGCAAGCAAGAUGAGAACAUCGAAGUUCAGAGAGUUUACAUCACUAGAUCAAGUUGGCACAGCCAAGGAGAGGACUUUAAACCCAGGCCAGCUGUGAUAUAGUGAACUCUGCAGACCUGUUUCCAACAAUGCAUUUUGCGCAGCAAGUCCAAGCCUGGAGUGUCAGCAGAUCAGAAUUCCAGGCCCCGUUUGCCAACAACUUCAUUUGGGAAUCUUUCCCUUCUCUGAGCCUCAGUUUCCUUGUUUGUAUAAUAAAAUGAAAGAGUUCAAUUGUUAAACAUUAAGGUGCUCCCAGGAUUCUCUAUACCUAA